rnacentral:rRNA from 1 species
UCGAGGGGCAGCAUAACACUUCGGUGUUGAUGGCGACCGGCGCACGGGUGCGUAACACGUAUAGAACCUACCCAUAACAGGGGGAUAGCCCAGAGAAAUUUGGAUUAAUACCCCAUAGUGUAUUAAUGAGGCAUCUCAUUUUUAUUAAAGAUUUAUCGGUUAUGGAUGGCUAUGCGUCCUAUUAGUUUGUUGGUGAGGUAAUGGCUCACCAAGGCUACGAUAGGUAGGGGUUCUGAGAGGAAUGUCCCCCACACUGGUACUGAGACACGGACCAGACUCCUACGGGAGGCAGCAGUGAGGAAUAUUGGACAAUGGGCGCAAGCCUGAUCCAGCCAUGCCGCGUGCAGGAAGAAGGCUUUCUAGUUGUAAACUGCUUUUAUUCACGAGGAAUAUGUCCCUUGCGAGGGAUUUUGACGUUAGUGUUUGAAUAAGCACCGGCUAACUCCGUGC